AGUUGGAAGUUCGGUACGAAGAGAAGGAAUGAAAGAAGAAAGAAUGGCAGGAAUGUAAGAGGAUGGAGGAAUGUGACACUGGGGUCACCAGGUAGGGCCCAGAAAGCAGGCUGCUGGUACCAGUCCAACAGAAAGUAGUCUAUCCUUCUGUAAGACAGGAACUCCCAUGCCACCUGUUUGAAGCCAAAGGACUAACUCCCCAAGGGUGCAAUUUUUGGCAGCCUGUGAUUCUGGAAGAAGGCAACUAAUACUGGAGCGAUUGCUCAGGAGUAAAGAACCAGCAGGAGAAAGGACUGGCCCCAGUACACUCAUUCCCUCCACCGAGAGUGACUUUUCCAUGGUCAUAGAGGGCAAGAGGGGCAACCUGAGACCAAGGACGCAGGGACAGUCACUCCCACCACAGCCACCUCCCCUACACGUAAAGGUCCUGAAGAUUAGUGAUUUGCUCAGGGUCAUUUCAAGAAUGUUGGAGAUAGCAGUUGAACCCAGUCUGUUUAUUUACUAGCCCGUGGCUUAUUUUUCUCUGUAUUCUGUCUCAGAUUCUGUGAUCACAGGCUAAUCUCAAGACUACUCAACUGCAGCUAAAAUUAUACUAGGCCUCUGCACAGAAAGAAAGGAAUAACUUCCAUAGCAGACACAACACCAGGGGCUUGUGCAUAUCCUAUUUAAUCACUGCAGUGAUGCAGAGACUUAUUAUUUUCACCCACUUUUUAAUAGAUAGAGGAGCU